rnacentral:rRNA from 1 species
AGAGUUUGAUCCUGGCUCAGGAUGAACGCUAGCUACAGGCUUAACACAUGCAAGUCGAGGGGAAACGACAUCGAAAGCUUGCUUUUGAUGGGCGUCGACCGGCGCACGGGUGAGUAACGCGUAUCCAACCUGCCCACCACUUGGGGAUAACCUUGCGAAAGUAAGACUAAUACCCAAUGAUAUCUCUAGAAGACAUCUGAAAGAGAUUAAAGAUUUAUCGGUGAUGGAUGGGGAUGCGUCUGAUUAGCUUGUUGGCGGGGUAACGGCCCACCAAGGCAACGAUCAGUAGGGGUUCUGAGAGGAAGGUCCCCCACAUUGGAACUGAGACACGGUCCAAACCCCUACGGGAGGCAGCAGUGAGGAAUAUUGGUCAAUGGGCGAGAGCCUGAACCAGCCAAGUAGCGUGCAGGAAGACGGCCCUAUGGGUUGUAAACUGCUUUUAUAAGGGAAUAAAGUGAGUCUCGUGAGACUUUUUGCAUGUACCUUAUGAAUAAGGACCGGCUAAUUCCGUGCCAGCAGCCGCGGUAAUACGGAAGGUCCGGGCGUUAUCCGGAUUUAUUGGGUUUAAAGGGAGCGUAGGCCGGAGAUUAAGCGUGUUGUGAAAUGUAGACGCUCAACGUCUGCACUGCAGCGCGAACUGGUUUCCUUGAGUACGCACAAAGUGGGCGGAAUUCGUGGUGUAGCGGUGAAAUGCUUAGAUAUCACGAAGAACUCCGAUUGCGAAGGCAGCUCACUGGAGCGCAACUGACGCUGAAGCUCGAAAGUGCGGGUAUCGAACAGGAUUAGAUACCCUGGUAGUCCGCACGGUAAACGAUGGAUGCCCGCUGUUGGUCUGAACAGGUCAGCGGCCAAGCGAAAGCAUUAAGCAUCCCACCUGGGGAGUACGACCGCAAGGUUGAAACUCAAAGGAAUUGACGGGGGCCCGCACAAGCAGUGGAUUAUGUGGUUUAAUUCGACGCAACGCGAAGAACCUUACCAGGAUUUGACAUCCAACUAACGAAGUAGAGAUACAUUAGGUACCCUUCGGGGGAAGUUGAGACAGGUGGUGCAUGGUUGUCGUCAGCUCGUGUCGUGAGAUGUUGGGUUAAGUCCCGCAACGAGCGCAACCCCUAUUGUUAGUUGCUACGAAAGAGCACUCUAGCGAGACUGCCGUUGACAAAACGGAGGAAGGCGGGGACGACGUCAAAUCAUCAUGCCCCUUAUGUCCUGGGCUACACACGUAAUACAAUGGCGGUCAACAGAGGGAAGCAAAGCCGCGAGGUGGAGCAAAUCCCUAAAAGCCGUCUCAGUUCGGAUUGCAGGCUGCAACUCGCCUGCAUGAAGCUGGAAUUGCUAGUAAUCGCGGAUCAGCAUGCCGCGGUGAAUACGUUCCCGGGCCUUGUACACACCGCCCGUCACACCAUGAGAGUCGGGAACACCCGAAGUCCGUAGUCUAACCGCAAGGAGGGCGCGGCCGAAGGUGGGUCCGGUAAUUGGGGUGAAGUCGUAACAAGGUA